GGUGGCCAUUUUAUUUUAUUAGAGGAACCUGCCUUUUAAUCGAUGCACCACGAUACUUUUCACUUCUGUUUAUAUCUUAUAUACCGCCAUCUUAAGGGUUAAUAUAUACAUUUUUCCCAAGAUAGAUUUUCUAAUAAGUUAGGUAAAGGUGUAGACCAUACAGAAGAUAGGGUGUGUUACCAAUAAAUAUUAUUUAAGGAUUAAAAAUUAAAACUUUUAUUGAAAGAGGAUUUAUAAGUAAGCUAAAGAAUAUUAAUCUUUACUGAACCUGAUAAAAAAUGUGCACACAUCGCCCGUCGCUCUU
rnacentral:rRNA from 1 species